rnacentral:rRNA from 1 species
AACGAACGCUGGCGGCGUGCCUAACACAUGCAAGUCGCACGAGAAAUCCUGAGCAAUCGGGAGAGUAAAGUGGCGCACGGGUGAGUAACGCGUGGGUAACCUACCCUUAAAUUGGGGAUAACUCCGCGAAAGCGGGGUUAAUACCGAAUAAUAUUCCAAUGUCUUUGGGAGUUGGAAUCAAAGGUGGCCUCUGCAUGCAAGCUAUCAUUUAAGGAUGGGCCCGCGUACCAUUAGCUUGUUGGUAGGGUAAUGGCCUACCAAGGCAACGAUGGUUAGCUGGUCUGAGAGGAUGGCCAGCCACACUGGAACUGAGACACGGUCCAGACUCCUACGGGUGGCAG